AGUUAUAAAUCAAUGAGUCUCAGCAAGCCAGUCACAGACUCGUGAGAUUCAGGCAGAUUUCUGGCUGCAAGUCCCAGGUUGAGCUCCCUGUCCUCCUGAAGGGUUGAACUCUGCAAGGCUCUACUGCAGAUUCCAGCUGCCCUUCCCCUGAAGAUAGUCCAGGUUUCGAUGGGAGGUGAUGAUCUCUCUAGCUUACCAAGUACGGUGGUCUGGUGUGGCUUUAUUGCAGAUUCUCUUCACUUUUCCAGUGGGCUUCAGUUUUCAUCAGGGAGUCUGCGAGAGGCCCUCUCUCUGUUUUUCACUUCUGCAGCUCAGGACAAUGGCCUUUAUGCUCCCCUGUGCCUGUCAUGUGGAUCCAAAUAACUGUACAGCCAAGAGGUGGCGGUGGGGGGCUGUUUUUGCAGAUGCCCGUGUGGCCAAGCUGGAGGCUGGUGGGCAAGCCUGGAGGUCCUCCCAUUAACUUUUUUCUUUUGGUACUGGGAAUUGAACUUAGGACCUUGCACUUGCCAGGCAGGCCUGGUGUCACUGAGCUAUGUCCCUGGCCUGCUUCCAUUAACUUUUAACAAUGCUCAAUAAGGCCUUCAUCUAUCUUUUCCCUAUCUGAGGGGCCCCUCUGUGCCCUGGCUGGCUGCUUCCCUAAUGCCCAGCCGUUGCUUAUACAGGUUGUUCUCAAAUUUGGAAGAAACAGGAAGGGUGGUGGAAGGUUCUAGAAGACAUUGGAACAUUUGACUUUGUGGUGGAGACUAUUGUGAUGCAAACUCUGGCUCACUCUGUGUCCCUCAGGUAAGGAUGGGUGAGAGUCAUUUCAACCUAACCCAAUCCCUGGACAGCAGACUGUCCCGGCCAUAGAAGGUUCUGAGGAAGCAAACGCAGCAGUGGCACUUUCAGGAAGGGCAAGGAAGAUGCGAAUCCCUCUGAUGCUCCCGGUGGCAGGCAGCUGCUGCGCCUCUGUCCUCCUCUUCAACCCUGUUUUGGACGCAGGUCCCAUGUGUGUGUGAAGGACCUGGGAGGACUGCAGGUCACCCAGGUCAGAUGCCCAUCCCUCCUGCUUCCUGCGCCCCAUGGGAGCUGCUCACCGUGCACACCCUGCUCUGCCAGGUCACCUCCCACAGAGGCCCAAAGCCCAGGGCCACAGGAGCCAAAAUAAACCUCUGUUCCUGACAAAUUAAUCGCCUUGCCCCCUCCAUCCGCAUCUGAGAGCAGUCUGAGUACAACACAGGUCCUCCUCGUUUUUGUCUACUUUUGAACCUGAAGGGUAUUUGUGCUAAUUACUUUGUGUUUCUGAGAUAGGAUCUCUCUCUUUCAUUUUGCUGGCCUUGAACUAGCAAUGAUCCUCCUGCCUUAGCCUUCUGAGGGCUGGGAUUACAGUCCUACACCACCACACCCAAUUUGAAAAUUGUUUUUUUAACAGCUCAAAAGUAAGAUACCAGACUUUAAGUAGAAUGGUAGAAUCUUGAUGUUCUUUUGAAUCAGCAUCUUGGUUUACAGCUGUCCCUUUCUCUGAAAUGGAGCGAGCACCUUGUGAAUUUCCGUCUUCAUGUGACAUCACUUGGAACUCGGCCUGUGGAUUAAAUGUGGUCUGGGCGCAGGCCUGGGCUCAAGCGUCAAGUAAUGAUGAUGAGGAGAGAGACGUGGCAGGCUGGAGGCCUCAGCCCAGAGUCUUCACACGGAUUCUGAUCCUGAUUAAGAAUGUCCAGCUUUGCCGGAUGUGGCAGGGCACACCUGUGAUCUCAGCGCUUGGGAGGCUAAGACAGAAGAAUCACAAGUUCAAGG
ensembl:lncRNA